GUCACCCUGAAAUGGUAAUUAAGAAGCAUUUAUUUCAUGAACAACACCCAAGAGAAUCAAGCAAAAUCAAGAUCACUUCAAAUUUAAGGCUGCCUGGAUACUGAAAAGUAUUAUUACAUCCAAUAGUUGGACUGGUGAGCAUCUUGGCACAAGUGAGAGACCAAGCAGAAGGUUUGCCAACUGUGGGCCAGAUGAGACCCAAAUGCACCCAUGUGUGCAACCACAGCGUGCCACCAAACAAGUGUGUUGGCACCCUUGGUACUUUAAAAUACCGUGAAGUUCUGGAAUUCUGGAGAGCUGUGGGACAAUUCGGGACACUGCAGCUCCUGGAAGGACAUUUCAGACAGCAUGAAGACUCCCAUGGGGAGAAAAUAAAAGACACUAUGGUGUGUGAAGGAGACCACUGAGAAGCUUAAAUCUACUCUC